UGCUAGUCGCGGGACUUAGACUCCCGGCGGAUAGCUCCGUAACACGUGGCCAAACUACCCAGCGGAGGGCGAUAAUCUCGGGAAACUGAGGCUAAUAGCCCCUACUGCUCCCAGGUUGGAAUACAGGGAGUGGGAAACGCUCCGGCGCCGCUGGAUGUGGCUGCGGCCGAUUAGGUAGACGGUGGGGUAACGGCCCACCGUGCCGAUAAUCGGUACGGGUGGUGAGAGCAAGAGCCCGGAGACGGAAUCUGAGACAAGAUUCCGGGCCCUACGGGGCGCAGCAGGCGCGAAACCUUUACACUGCACGCACGUGCGAUAAGGGGAGUCCGAGUGCGAGGGCAUAUCGUCCUCGCUUUUGUGUACCGUAGGGUGGUACACGAAUAAGGGCUGGGCAAGACCGGUGCCAGCCGCCGCGGUAAUACCGGCAGCCCGAGUGAUGGCCGAUUUUAUUGGGCCUAAAGCGUCCGUAGCCGGCCAGGCAGGUCCGUCGGGAAAUCCAUCCGCCUAACGGAUGGGCGUCCGGCGGAAACCACCUGGCUUGGGGCCGGAAGACCCAGAGGGUACGCCCGGGGUAGGAGUGAAAUCCCGUAAUCCUGGACGGACCGCCGAUGGCGAAAGCACUCUGGGAGGACGGACCCGACGGUGAGGGACGAAAGCUAGGGUCUCGAACCGGAUUAGAUACCCGGGUAGUCCUAGCCGUAAACGAUGUUCGCUAGGUGUGGCACAGGGCUACGCGCCUGUGCUGUGCCGUAGGGAAGCCGAGAAGCGAACCGCCUGGGAAGUACGUCCGCAAGGAUGAAACUUAAAGGAAUUGGCGGGGGAGCACUACAACCGGAGGAGCCUGCGGUUUAAUUGGAUUCAACGCCGGAAUCACU
rnacentral:rRNA from 1 species